rnacentral:rRNA from 1 species
GACGAACGCUGGCGGCGUGGAUUAGGCAUGCAAGUCGCGCGACGGGUAGGAUUCGUCCUACUACGGAGCGGCGAACGGGUGAGUAACACGUGAGGAACCUGUCCCUACAUUCCGGAUAAUUGGCCGAAAGGCCUUGUAAUACGGGGGAGGGUCUUUGAGGGGCAUCCCUUAAAGAAGGAACGAGCAAUCGGUGCAGGGAGGGUCUCGCGGCCUAUCAGCUUGUUGGUGGGGUAAAGGCCUACCAAGGCGACGACGGGUAGCUGGUCUGAGAGGAUGGUCAGCCACAUUGGAACUGAGACACUGUCCAGACUCCUACGGGAGGCUGCAGUCGAGAAUCUUGGUCAAUGCACGAAAGUGUGAACCAGCGACGCCGCGUGAAGGAUGAAGGACCUCUGGUUCGUAAACUUCUUUAGGGGGAAGAAUGGGCUUCGGCCUUUGACGGUACCCCCUGAAUAAGCCACGGCUAAUUACGU